rnacentral:rRNA from 1 species
UUCGACCUACGGGACGCAGCAGUGAGGAAUAUUGGUCAAUGGGCUUACGCCUGGACCAGCCACGUCGCGUGGGGGAAGACUGCCCUAUGGGUUGUAAACCUCUUUUGUCAGGGAGCAACGCCGGCUACGUGUAGCCGGACUGAGAGUACCUGAAGAAAAAGUAUCGGCUAACUCCGUGCCAGCAGCCGCGGUAAUACGGAGGAUGCGAGCGUUAUCCGGAUUUAUUGGGUUUAAAGGGUGCGCAGGCGGCCUGUUAAGUCAGCGGUAAAAGCCCGGGGCUCAACCCCGGCGAGCCGUUGAAACUG